rnacentral:tRNA from 2 species
AUUAUUUUGGCAGAUUAGUGCAAUGAAUUUAGAAUUCAUAUAUGUAUAUUAUACAAAUAAUA